rnacentral:rRNA from 1 species
UAGUGGCGAACGGGUGAGUAACACGUGGGCAAUCUGCCCUGCACUCUGGGACAAGCCCUGGAAACGGGGUCUAAUACCGGAUAAUACUGUGCCCCUCAUGGGGGACGGUUNAAAGCUCCGGCGGUGCAGGAUGAGCCCGCGGCCUAUCAGCUUGUUGGUGGGGUAAUGGCCUACCAAGGCGACGACGGGUAGCCGGCCUGAGAGGGCGACCGGCCACACUGGGACUGAGACACGGCCCAGACUCCUACGGGAGGCAGCAGUGGGGAAUAUUGCACAAUGGGCGAAAGCCUGAUGCAGCGACGCCGCGUGAGGGAUGACGGCCUUCGGGUUGUAAACCUCUUUCAGCAGGGAAGAAGCGAAAGUGACGGUACCUGCAGAAGAAGCGCCGGCUAACUACGUGCCAGCAGCCGCGGUAAUACGUAGGGCGCAAGCGUUGUCCGGAAUUAUUGGGCGUAAAGAGCUCGUAGGCGGUUUGUCACGUCGGGUGUGAAAGCCCGGGGCU